rnacentral:rRNA from 1 species
UACGAAGGGGGGCUAGCGUUGUUCGGAAUCACUGGGCGUAAAGCGCACGUAGGCGGAUCUUUAAGUCAGGGGUGAAAUCCCGAGGCUCAACCUCGGAACUGCCUUUGAUACUGGGGAUCUCGAGUCCGGGAGAGGUGAGUGGAACUGCGAGUGUAGAGGUGAAAUUCGUAGAUAUUCGCAAGAACACCAGUGGCGAAGGCGGCUCACUGGCCCGGAACUGGACGCUGAGGUGCGAAAGCGUGGGGAGCAAAGCAGGGAGUUAACAUAAC